GACGAACGCUGGCGGCGUGCUUAACACAUGCAAGUCGAACGGAAAGGCCCUGCUUUUGUGGGGUGCUCGAGUGGCGAACGGGUGAGUAACACGUGAGUAACCUGCCCUUGUCUUUGGGAUAACUUCAGGAAACUGGGGCGAAUACCGGGUAGGAGCUCCUGCUGCAUGGGGGUGGUUGGAAAGUUUCGGCGGUGGGGGCUGGAGUAGAGGGUUAUCAGCUGGUUGGUGUGGUAGUGGUUUACCAAGGCUUUGACGGGUAGGCGGCCUUGGAGGGUGACCGGCCACAUUGCGACUGAGAUACGGACCAGACUGCUACGGGAGGCAGCAGUCGGGAACCUUGCACAAUGGGCGGAAGUGUGAUGCAGCAACCCCGGGUGCGGGAUGACCGCCUUCGGGUUGUAAACCGCUGUCGACGGUGACGAAGCGUGCGUGACGGUAAUGGGUAAAGAAGCCCCGGCUAACUACGUG
rnacentral:rRNA from 1 species